UACGAAGGGUGCAAGCGUUACUCGGAAUUACUGGGCGUAAAGCGUGCGUAGGUGGUUUGUUAAGUCUGUUGUGAAAGCCCCGGGCUCAACCUGGGAAUGGCAAUGGAUACUGGCAAGCUAGAGUGCGGUAGAGGGUAGUGGAACUCCCGGUGUAGCGGUGAAAUGCGUAGAGAUCGGGAGGAACACCAGUGGCGAAGGCGGCUACCUGGACCAGCACUGACACUGAGGCACGAAAGCGUGGGGAGCAAACAGG
rnacentral:rRNA from 1 species